rnacentral:misc_RNA from 1 species
GAUGAAGAACGUAGUGAAAUGCGAUACGUAAUGUGAAUUGCAGAAUUCAGUGAAUCAUCGAAUCUUUGAACGCAUAUUGCGCUCUCUGGUAUUCCGGAGAGCAUGCUUGUUUGAGUAUCAGUAAACACCUCAAAUUCCAUAUCUUUUUUGAAAUGGGAGUUGGACUUGAGUGAUCCCAACGCUUUUCCUCACCGAAAAGUGGCGGGUUACUUGAAAUGCAGGUGCAGCUGGACUUUUCUCUGAGCUAUAAGCAUAUCUAUUUAGUCUGCCUAAAAAACAGAUUAUUACCUUUGCUGCAGCUAACAUAAAGGAGAUUAGUUCUUGUGCUGACUGAUGCAGGAUUCACAAAGACGGCUUCGGCCGACUUUGUAAACUCGAUCUCAAAUCAAGUAAGACUACCCGCUGAACUUAAGCAUAUCAAUAAGCGGAGGA